UACAGAGGGGGCAAGCGUUGUUCGGAAUUACUGGGCGUAAAGGGCGCGUAGGCGGCCCGCUAAGUCGAACGUGAAAUCCCCAGGCUCAACCUGGGAACUGCGUCCGAUACUGGCAGGCUUGAAUCCGGGAGAGGGAUGUGGAAUUCCAGGUGUAGCGGUGAAAUGCGUAGAGUAUCAGGAGGAACACCGGUGGCGAAGGCGGGAUCUCCUGGGCCUUACCUGACGCUGGAGGCGCGAAAGCUAGGGGAGCAAACAGG
rnacentral:rRNA from 1 species